AAAGGUACCACGUAUACAAACCAAUCAGAGGCAGCUUAGGGCGGGUCAUUGUUUCUCUAUCCUAUGAAGAACAACAUAACUCUAUGGCGGAGAAAUCGAAAAGUAAACGUGAAACGUCUGUGUCAGCGCCUCAAUAAUGCCGUGACUGACAUUUUCAUCUGAAGCGGGAGGUCAAACGGUAGAGGAUCUGACUGUGGAUGUGGGAUACUGGUUUAAAGGAAGCACCAAUCGUAAAGGUUACCUGACAGAAUUCUGUGAGCUCCAUGGAAGCGAGUAUUUGGAAAUACUUAUGCACGUUUCCAUUCGAUGGUUGAGCCUGGAGAGGUGUUUGACUAAUACCCUGCAGCAGUAUGAACCACUGGCCAGCUACUUCAAGUCAUCAGAUGAGAAACAACCAAGGUUCAGGAGGCUGUUGGAAGCAUUCUCUAACCCAAUGACAGAGGUGUACCUGCUCUUCUAUCAAGCAACGUUGCCAGUCUUCUCCACCUUCAACCUCCUCCUCCAGAGAGAGAAGUCCUCCAUCUUCCUUCUACAUGAUGAGUUUCUCUCGAAGUUUCUGAAGCCCGCAGCACCGGGAAUUGCAUGAAAUCCUCUAUAAGGACCCAUCAAACCAAUUGCCAGGAGAAAAGCUGGUGAUCGGCUUCACUACUCGAGCUACACUCAACAGGCUCCUUGAUGCAGGAGAUAUUACACCGCAGCAAGUGCAGAGGUUCCAGCAGGCAGCAGUGGCGUUUCUGGUGAGGGCUGUGGAGUAUGCCAUGAAGAAACUCCCCAUGAGAGAGCCCCAGAUAAAACAUGCCAUGUUUCUGGAUGUCCAGCAGAGGGUAGAGUGUGGAGUGGAAGACACCUUGUACUUUGUCGACAGGUUUCCUGAACUUCUCCCAUACAACGGACCUGACGAGCGUGACAAACUGAGUGAGGAGUUUCUGGACUACCAGUCCAUGGACAUUGCCAUGCCCGAAGACCCAGCCACGUUCGACAUUGAGAGCUUUUGGGGGAACAUGGCAUCAAUGAAGAAUAAGGUGACCGGUAUGAGCAGAUUUGGGAGGCUCUCUCGUAUUGCCAAGUUGGUGUUGGUACUUCCACAUUCAAAUGCUGAUGCUGAACGAGUGUUCUCUGUGGUGGGACUGAACAAAACCCGAAAAACUGUUUGGCUCUUGAUGGAACUCUAUCAUCCAUCAUGACUGUGAAGAUGGCAAACCUUGAGCCACAGUGUUUCAAAUGGGAGCCCCCUCCCUCUGUCAUCAAGGCAUCAAAAUCUGCCACAAACACCUACAACAUGAGACAUGUCAUGUAAACCAAAACACACAAACAAAGACAUGCACUUAAUUUAUUUAUAAUAUAUAUUAUAUAUAUAUAUAUUAUUCUGGUUCUAAUUUUGUUACUCUUAAAAAAAAAAUGCACCAAAGGAAAAGGCUGCUAUUGGUUCUUAAAAGGCUGCUAUUAUUUCUUAAAAGGCUGCUAUGUUUUUUUUAUAUUGACAUUUUAUAAAUAAAUGUAUUUUAUUUGUCAAACCUUUUCUUGUUACAAUUGUUUUCAUUUUUACUUGUGCUGGUCAAUUAUUAACACUAUAUAAGCAUGAGGAGGCCGACAGUGCAGGGAGGGCAGCUGGCAUGGGGGUGAAGACAUCACAACAGUCUUAAUGUUCAUUUAAAUUGAGAUAUUCCUCUAAAUCGACGUUAAAAAAGGCAACAAAAAAAAUCGAAACGCAUCUUCCCCCGAAAGUCUCACUCCUACUUGUUACUGAAACUUGGCAGCCCUGAACUUAGGGGGAUAAAAACUAUAACUCCAUCAACACCUCAGUUGUCAGCAAUGUGUGCAGUUUCAUGUGUUUUUAAAAGCUCAGUUAUUGACUUCUU